rnacentral:rRNA from 1 species
AGUGAGCGCUGGCGGUAGGCCUAACACAUGCAAGUCGAACGGCAGCACAGUAAGAGCUUGCUCUUACGGGUGGCGAGUGGCGGACGGGUGAGGAAUACAUCGGAAUCUACUUUUUCGUGGGGGAUAACGUAGGGAAACUUACGCUAAUACCGCAUACGACCUACGGGUGAAAGCAGGGGAUCUUCGGACCUUGCGCGAUUGAAUGAGCCGAUGUCGGAUUAGCUAGUUGGCGGGGUAAAGGCCCACCAAGGCGACGAUCCGUAGCUGGUCUGAGAGGAUGAGCAGCCACACUGGAACUGAGACACGGUCCAGACUCCUACGGGAGGCAGCAGUGGGGAAUAUGGGACAAUGGGCGCAAGCCUGAUCCAGCCAUACCGCGUGGGUGAAGAAGGCCUUCGGGUUGUAAAGCCCUUUUGUUGGGAAAGAAAAGCAGCAGGUUAAUACCCCGCUGUUCUGACGGUACCCAAAGAAUAAGCACCGGCUAACUUCG